rnacentral:lncRNA from 1 species
CUCUGUCCCUCCAACACUCCCUCUGUCCACAACACUCCUUCCCUCUGUGCCACAACACUCCUUCCCUCUGUCCCACCAAACACUCCUUCCCUGUCCCCCAAACACUCCCAUCCCUCUGUCCUCUCAACACUCCCUCUGUCCCACCAACACUCCUUCCCUCUGUCCCACCAACACUCCUUCCCUCUGUCCCACCAAACACUCCCUCUGUCCACAACACCCCUCCCGCAACACUCCCUCGUCCCUCCAACACUCCCUCUGUCCCACCAACACUCCCUCUGUCCCACCAACACUCCUCUGUCCCUCCAACACUCCCCUGUCCCACCAACACUCCCUCUGUCCCACCAACACUCCUCCUCUGCCCACCAACACCCCUCCCUGCCACAACUCCCUCUGUCCCACACACUCCCUCUGUCCACCAA